rnacentral:lncRNA from 1 species
AAAAUUUGAACAACUUUAUUAUUACUUUUGAGUUUUUUUUUUGAAUUACAUGAGAUUCAUGCUCCGAUUACAACUCAUAUUAUAUGAGAUUUACAACUAAUAUUUACAAUCAGACAAUUACUGGGCCUAAUUUACCUUAAUUUUUAUGUAGCACUGCUUAAAUUUUACCCUCUCUAAUAUUUGAGGGGUGUUUACUCUACUCACAUUUCGAAAUAGAGUAAACUACCUUCACUUAAUAAUUAAGAAAGGAAAUAAGUCCCUACAUGCGUUGCGGGGACUCGAACCGUUGCGCUCACAGUUGUGAGUGCAAGGUUCUGGCCACUGGGUUAAGGCCC